UACGAAGGGGGCAAGCGUUGCUCGGAUUUAUUGGGCGUAAAGGGUGUGUAGGUGGUUCAUUAAGUUAGAUGUGAAAGCCCGGGGCUCAACCCCGGAACUGCAUUUAAAACUGAUGAACUUGAAGAUCACAGAGGUAAGCAGAAUUUCCAGUGUAGAGGUGAAAUUCGUAGAUAUUGGAAAGAAUACCAACGGCGUAGGCAGCUUACUGGGUGACUCUUGACACUGAGGCACGAAAGCGUGGGGAGCAAACAGG
rnacentral:rRNA from 1 species